GACGAACGCUGGCGGCGUGCUUAACACAUGCAAGUCGAACGGAAAGGCCCUGCUUUUGUGGGGUGCUCGAGUGGCGAACGGGUGAGUAACACGUGAGUAACUUGCCCUUGACUUUGGGAUAACUUCAGGAAACUGGGGCUAAUACCGGAUAGGAGCUCCUGCUGCAUGGUGGGGGUUGGAAAGUUUCGGCGGUUGGGGAUGGACUCGCGGCUUAUCAGCUUGUUGGUGGGGUAGUGGCUUACCAAGGCUUUGACGGGUAGCCGGCCUGAGAGGGUGGCCGGCCACAUUGGGACUGAGAUACGGCCCAGACUCCUACGGGAGGCAGCAGUGGGGAAUAUUGCACAAUGGGCGGAAGCCUGAUGCAGCAACGCCGCGUGCGGGAUGACGGCCUUCGGGUUGUAAACCGCUUUCGCCUGUGACGAAGCGUGAGUGACGGUAAUGGGUAAAGAAGCACCGGCUAACUACGUG
rnacentral:rRNA from 1 species